CACAUGCAGUCGAGGGGUAACAGGAGUAGCUUGCUAUUUGCUGACGACCGGCGCACGGGUGCGUAACGCGUAUAGAAUCUACCUUAUACUGGGGGAUAGCCUUUGGAAACGAAGAUUAAUACCCCAUAGUAUUAUUUUUUGGCAUCAUUAAAUAAUUAAAGUUUCGGCGGUAUAAGAUGACUAUGCGUUCUAUUAGUUAGUUGGUAAGGUAACGGCUUACCAAGACUUCGAUAGAUAGGGGUCCUGAGAGGGAGAUCCCCCACACUGGUACUGAGACACGGACCAGACUCCUACGGGAGGCAGCAGUGAGGAAUAUUGGACAAUGGAGGCAACUCUGAUCCAGCCAUGCCGCGUGUAGGAAGACUGCCCUAUGGGUUGUAAACUACUUUUAUAUGGGAAGAAUAAGAUCUACGUGUAGAUUGAUGACGGUACCAUAAGAAUAAGCACCGGCUAACUCCGUGCCAGCAGCCGCGGUAAUACGGAGGGUGCAAGCGUUAUCCGGAAUCAUUGGGUUUAAAGGGUCCGUAGGCGGGCAUAUAAGUCAGUGGUGAAAGUCUGUGGCUUAACCAUAGAAUUGCCAUUGAUACUGUAUGUCUUGAAUUAUUGUGAAGUGGUUAGAAUAUGUAGUGUAGCGGUGAAAUGCUUAGAGAUUACAUAGAAUACCGAUUGCGAAGGCAGAUCACUAACAAUAUAUUGACGCUGAUGGACGAAAGCGUAGGUAGCGAACAGGAUUAGAUACCCUGGUAGUCUACGCCGUA
rnacentral:rRNA from 1 species